AGAAACUUAGGAUCGACCUAAACCAAAGGCCUUCAAAGCCUUAAACAAGAGUUAAACUCUCUUAGUUUCUG
rnacentral:tRNA from 3 species